rnacentral:rRNA from 1 species
UCUAGUAUAAGCAUUAUACCGUGAAACUGCGAAUGGCUCAUUAAAUCAGUUAUCGUUUAUUUGAUAGUACCUUACUACUUGGAUACCUGUGGUAAUUCUAGAGCUAAUACAUGCUAAAAACCCCGACUUCGGGAGGGGUGUGUUUAUUAGAUAAAAAACCAAUGCCCUUCGGGGCUCCCUUGGUGAUUCAUGAUAACCUAACGGAUCGCAUGGCCUUGCGCCGGCGACGGUUCAUUCAAAUUUCUGCCCUAUCAACUUUCGAUGGUAAGGUAUUGGCUUACCAUGGUUUCAACGGGUAACGGGGAGUUUGGCUCGACUCCGGAGAGGGGGCCUGAGAAACGGCCACCACAUCCAAGGAAGGCAGCAGGCGCGCAAAUUACCCAAUCCCGACACGGGGAGGUAGUGACAAUAAAUACUGAUACAGGGCUCUUUUGGGUCUUGUAAUCGGAAUGAGUACAAUUUAAAUCCCUUAACGAGGAACAAUUGGAGGGCAAGUCUGGUGCCAGCAGCCGCGGUAAUUCCAGCUCCAAUAGCGUAUAUUAAAGUUGUUGCAGUUAAAAAGCUCGUAGUUGAACCUUGGGCCUGGCUGGCCGGUCCGCCUCACCGCGUGUACUGGUCCGGCCGGGCCUUUCUUUCUGGGGAGUCGCAUGCCCUUCACUGGGUGUGUCGGCGGACCAGGACUUUUACUGUGAACAAAUUAGAGUGUUCAAAGCAGGCCUUUGCUCGAAUACAUUAGCAUGGAAUAAUAGAAUAGGACGUGCGGUCCUAUUUUGUUGGUUUCUAGGAUCGCCGUAAUGAUUAAUAGGCUCAGUCGGGGGCAUCAGUAUUCAAUUGUCAGAGGUGAAAUUCUUGGAUUUAUUGAAGACUAACUACUGCGAAAGCAUUUGCCAAGGAUGUUUUCAUUAAUCAGUGAACGAAAGUUAGGGGAUCGAAGACGAUCAGAUACCGUCGUAGUCUUAACCGUAAACUAUGCCGACUAGGGAUCGGGCGAUGUUUCUAUCUUGACUCGCUCGGCACCUUACGAGAAAUCAAAG